UCUGGUGGCUGGUCAAAGGAGGAAUCCCAGAGCUGCUGCGCUGUGUGCAUAUGCACCCAGCACACAGCCCACCUCCAGUGUCUGCGAGGGCUUGCACUCGUCCUACAAACAUCCCUGUGCCCAAGGAAGCUUAACAUUAAAGAGCAGGGCUCAGAAUGAAAUAGUACGUAGCUGAGAGGCAGUCUCUGGACUCGGGACAUGAGAAGCUACAGACAGGCACAUGUGUUGGUGUCUGUAUUUGUGUCUGACCCGUGGCUACAGUUGGAGCACUGGAACUUGUGAUUCUUCUCUGUGCAUCUAGAUGUGAGGAAAACUUUUGCGCUUCCCCACACAGUGCUCUUUCCAUAGAAGUCUGCGGGAGAGUUGAUUUCAUCCUCCAAUUGGAAGGUCUAU